CCCUCAUAGUGGGGGAUAACAGUCGGAAACGACUGCUAAUACCGCAUAGGACAUAGGAUCACAUGAUCCAGUGAGGAAAGGUGGCGCAAGCUAUCGCUAAGAGAUGGACCCGCGGUGCAUUAGCUAGUUGGUAGGGUAAAGGCCUACCAAGGCGAUGAUGCAUAGCCGACCUGAGAGGGUGAUCGGCCACAUUGGGACUGAGACACGGCCCAA
rnacentral:rRNA from 1 species